rnacentral:lncRNA from 1 species
UCUUCCCGCGGCGACGCCCAGGCCACCAAGGCCGGAGCGCACUUGGAACGCGAGCGGGAGCCUGAGACGCCCGGACCAACGUCUCAGAGCUGGGCCCUACGCAGCCUGCGAAGUUUCCGGCCCAUGGGACGGACGCGCCCGAAUGGUCGAGAGGAGCAAACUUGGCGCUCGCACACUCAGAGAGGGAUUGGAGCAGCCAGCACUCGUCCUCCUUCCUUCAGGACUCCAACUCAGAGCCUGCCUCUUCCAAGAAACUCGCUCUGUUAAGCCUCCAGAGCCCUGCCCUGCACAACUCAAGGAGACAGACUGAUCUCCAGUUACACAAGAAACCAAGCCUGAGAAAUUCAUAAUUUAUAUCUGCCCAAACUGACAUUAUGGUAAGUUAAAGUCAGGUUGGAGGCCCACAGAAUGUUUUUCCUUUAAAAGUAGAUCACACUGGGGCAGGCAUUAGAGGGGUUAAGACACCACUUGUUGAGGGGGGCAGUGUUGAGGUACAACGUGUUAAGCUACCUCAUGCAGCGCUGGCAUCUCCUAUGAGCACCAACUAGAGUUCUAACUGCUCCACUUCUGAUCCAGCUCCCUAGAAAGCAACAGAAGAUAUCCCAAGUGCUUGGGCCUCUGCCAUCCAUGUGAGAGACCUGGAUGGAGUUCCAGGCCUCUGGCUUUGGCCUGACCUAGCCCCAGCCAAUGUGACCAUAUGCAAAGUGAACCAGCAAAUUGGAAAAUUUCUCCCUUUCUCUCUCUCCCCAACUCCCCCUCCCUCUCCAUAUUACUCUGCUUUUCAAAUAAAUAAGCGACAAUAAACA